GCUGUAGCUCAGUGGUUAGAGUAGCAGCCUUUCUUGCAGGAGGUCCCAGGUUCGAUCCCCAGCAUCUCCA